rnacentral:rRNA from 1 species
UACAGGACGAACGCUGGCGGCACGCCUAACACAUGCAAGUCGAACGGAGAUAUUUGGUUACUGAGAUAUCUUAGUGGCGGACGGGUGAGUAACACGUGAGCAACCUGCCUCUGAGAGAGGGAUAGCUUCUGGAAACGGAUGGUAAUACCUCAUGACAUAACGAAGCCGCAUGACUUUGUUAUCAAAGAUUUAUCACUCAGAGAUGGGCUCGCGUCUGAUUAGAUAGUUGGUGAGGUAACGGCUCACCCAAGUCGACGAUCAGUAGCCGGACUGAGAGGUUGAACGGCCACAUUGGGACUGAGACACGGCCCAGACUCCUACGGGAGGCAGCAGUGGGGAAUAUUGCACAAUGGGGGAAACCCUGAUGCAGCGAUGCCGCGUGGAGGAAGAAGGUUUUCGGAUUGUAAACUCCUGUCUUAAAGGACGAUAAUGACGGUACUUUAGGAGGAAGCUCCGGCUAACUACGUGCCAGCCGCCGC